GCAAAUAUACAGGGAAACAACCUUUCACGAUGAAUUAUUCAGAGUGCGUAGGGUUAUUUACAGUCGAGUGCGGACAGCCAUAGAAAGAUCUAUAUUGCGAAAUGAUCACAUUAACGGGUGCAAGGCUAACCCAACACAUCGACGCUUAAAACGGGAAAGAUCACCGGGAUUCAAGAUGAUUUCUACAAAAGCCAUAUACAACAUUUUGCUGAUUGUCUGCUUCUGUCAAGUGUUAGUAGAAGGCAUUGAUACGGUUUCAUAUGAAUUUGGAGACGACUGUUCUGUAAGGUUUGAAGAAGUCAACGAGGACCGUCAGAUCUAUGUCGAAUACAAUGGGAAAAAUGUCGGAUUUCUCUGCGACUACUUCUCAUUUGAGGGACAAGGAGAGGAAAUCAUGGAUGAAUAUGAAGUGUGUGUCACACCUAUAUAUUUCGAAGACCCAGACUGCGCUGUUAGAUAAGAUUACCAAACAUCAUAUGGCGGCAAAACAUUACAGAGUGUAACUUGUGAUAAGAAUUACAACACGAAAUACUGUGGCCCUCGGGAUGAUUUUUUCUACAUAAAUUUUGAGAAACGUGACUCAAAAUCGACAUCAAAUGCCAGGUUUAAGCUACUUGUCACUGCAAAUAAAGUUUUUGACUAUGGGGGUUUAGUCGGAGCUAUCAUCGGCGGUGUGAUCGGGGGCAUUGUUUUGAUCUCCUUGGUGACCGGGGUGGUGUGUUUCUUUGUGUGCAGGAGAAAGCCCACACAAGGACGGGUGUUAAACCCGAGCCAAACCAAUCAAACUCCAAUGGGAGUCCAACCAACAUACCCUCUAGCAGCCUAUCCUACACAGCCGCUUACUAACACCACUCCAUUUCCGACUGCAAACUAUGCAACACAAUAUUCAUCAGGAUUUACGCAACCCCCACAAUCUGGUGUAUGGCAACAGGAAGAAAAGCAGGCAUCAGCCCCUCCACCAAGCUACAGUGACGUGACCAACUAAUUUCGAAGAGAUGAACCUACAAUUACUUUGUUUUUAUGCGAUUAACCUAUACCCAAGAGUAAAGUGAUAUUUCAUUUAGGUUUCUUUUUUUUGUGUGUGUCGGAGUGAAUUAAGAGAUCUAUUAACAUAGCUUUAUAUUUUGCUAUUUUAUUUAUUAUAUACAUGUAUACAUUGUAUAUUAAUAUAUUACAUUGUCUUAUAAUUGGGAGAAUCUGGCCCUUUGUCCUCGUGUUGAGGAUUUUAGGUAUACUUUCUGUGUUCUUUGUCUUAUGAUGUCGAAAAUCUUAGCAUUUUACUUUAGCAAUAAACAUAAAAUUAGAUAUACGGGUUCACGAUAUCUUCUUGAUAUUAAAUUUUAUAACAAUGCGAAAAUCAUUAAAUUCUAAUCUCUUUUUCGAAUGUUUAAGUAUGAAUUGUGUACUUGGCAACACAUAAUGUUUUUUCAAAUACCGCAAUUGGUGAAAUCAUGUAUUUCUUUACUAUCUAUUGAAAAGGUUAUGUUAUUUUUAGAAUUGACCAUUUUAUUUUGUUGAUGAUGAGGUAUUAUUGUACCAAUGAAUAAAACUGCUUCGGGAAUAAUGUUUUAUGUUCUAUGACAAGUUCAUAUCUUACAUAAACAGGAGCUUAUAUUGCUUUAUGUCAGCUAUUUACUGACAAUGACGAUGGUUUUUAACCAUCUGAAAUAGAAUGCAGGUUUCUAACCUGAGAUGUAUCAAUUAUAAUCUUAAGAAAUUUUUCUUGCCACUCUUGUUUUAACCAUAUAUUGACUAAUAAAUAUAUAUCGUUA